AGAGUUUGAUCCUGGCUCAGGAUGAACGCUAGCUACAGGCUUAACACAUGCAAGUCGAGGGGCAUCAGUUUGGUUUGCUUGCAAACCGAAGCUGGCGACCGGCGCACGGGUGAGUAACACGUAUCCAACCUGCCUCAUACUCGGGGAUAGCCUUUCGAAAGAAAGAUUAAUAUCCGAUAGUAUAUAUUUCCCGCAUGGGUUUUAUAUUAAAGAAAUUCGGUAUGAGAUGGGGAUGCGUUCCAUUAGUUUGUUGGCGGGGUAACGGCCCACCAAGACUACGAUGGAUAGGGGUUCUGAGAGGAAGGUCCCCCACAUUGGAACUGGGACACGGUCCAAACUCCUACGGGAGGCAGCAGUGAGGAAUAUUGGUCAAUGGACGCGAGUCUGAACCAGCCAAGUAGCGUGAAGGAUGACUGCCCUAUGGGUUGUAAACUUCUUUUAUAUGGGAAUAAAGUUGUCCACGUGUGGAUUUUUGUAUGUACCAUAUGAAUAAGGAUCGGCUAACUCCGUGCCAGCAGCCGCGGUAAUACGGAGGAUCCGAGCGUUAUCCGGAUUUAUUGGGUUUAAAGGGAGCGUAGGCGGAUUGUUAAGUCAGUUGUGAAAGUUUGCGGCUCAACCGUAAAAUUGCAGUUGAUACUGGCAGUCUUGAGUGCAGUAGAGGUGGGCGGAAUUCGUGGUGUAGCGGUGAAAUGCUUAGAUAUCACGAAGAACUCCGAUUGCGAAGGCAGCUCACUGGAGUGUAACUGACGCUGAUGCUCGAAAGUGUGGGUAUCAAACAGGAUUAGAUACCCUGGUAGUCCACACAGUAAACGAUGAAUACUCGCUGUUUGCGAUAUACAGUAAGCGGCCAAGCGAAAGCAUUAAGUAUUCCACCUGGGGAGUGCGCCGGCAACGGUGAAACUCAAAGGAAUUGACGGGGGCCCGCACAAGCGGAGGAACAUGUGGUUUAAUUCGAUGAUACGCGAGGAACCUUACCCGGGCUUAAAUUGCAAAUGAAUUAUGGGGAAACCCAUAGGCCGUAAGGCAUUUGUGAAGGUGCUGCAUGGUUGUCGUCAGCUCGUGCCGUGAGGUGUCGGCUUAAGUGCCAUAACGAGCGCAACCCUUAUCUUCAGUUACUAACAGGUCAUGCUGAGGACUCUGGAGAGACUGCCGUCGUAAGAUGUGAGGAAGGUGGGGAUGACGUCAAAUCAGCACGGCCCUUACGUCCGGGGCUACACACGUGUUACAAUGGGGGGUACAGAAGGCCGCUACCUGGUGACAGGAUGCCAAUCCCAAAAACCUCUCUCAGUUCGGAUCGAAGUCUGCAACCCGACUUCGUGAAGCUGGAUUCGCUAGUAAUCGCGCAUCAGCCAUGGCGCGGUGAAUACGUUCCCGGGCCUUGUACACACCGCCCGUCAAGCCAUGAAAGCCGGGGGUACCUGAAGUACGUAACCGCAAGGAGCGUCCUAGGGUAAAACUGGUAAUUGGGGCUAAGUCGUAACAAGGUA
rnacentral:rRNA from 1 species